UACGUAGGGUGCAAGCGUUAAUCGGAAUUACUGGGCGUAAAGCGUGCGCAGGCGGUUAUGUAAGACAGGAUGUGAAAUGCCCGGGCUCAACCUGGGAACUGCAUUUGUGACUGCAUGGCUAGAGUGUGUCAGAGGGGGGUAGAAUUCCACGUGUAGCAGUGAAAUGCGUAGAUAUGUGGAGGAAUACCGAUGGCGAAGGCAGCCCCCUGGGAUAACACUGACGCUCAUGCACGAAAGCGUGGGGAGCAAACAGG
rnacentral:rRNA from 1 species